rnacentral:lncRNA from 1 species
ACCGAAGCAUCAACUAUCUUGGAACUCUGCCAACUAGAACCUCGGCCUCAACUGACACAUCCAAACUAAUGGCUGAGUGUCUUUUUUAGCAGCAUCAAGCAACUCCUUUACAAUACCACCCAAAGUAAUUUUCCUGAAGAAAUUCUCCUUGUAUCUAACUUCAUUCAGGUUCUUGGGGCUUGCCAAAUAGCCAGCAAUGUGACCUUAACUUGGUCAGUUGACAUCUCUGGUCUUAAGUUUCCUAAUCUGCAACAUUUGAAGGUUUAUUUUCUAAACGUUUUUACUUUAGUACUAAUUUCUGUGAGACAAUCAAGCUAUUCAAUGUUAGGUUGAGGUAUGUAAAUCAUUCCUGCCAGCCUUUGUACGAGGUGGUUCUGGUAUCACUGUGGCCCAGCAUGUGUCUGUCUAUCAGUGUUGGCAGCCGCUGAGACAAGUGAUGUCACCUGCCAAUACUGUAGAUUGAAUAACCAGGGAAGGCUGAGGAAUGCAAGUGAAUGUAAAAACCACCUGGAGGGAAGCAUUGCAGCAAGAAAGGAACAGCAAGUGCAGAGGCCUGAGGCAGAACCAGCAGGGAAAAUGCUUUGAGGUGAGGCAGGUUCCAUGAAAACCUGGAAGAAAUAUUCCUGAGGACCAUCCAACACCAUUUCCCUGAGAGACAAGCUGUAAGUGCUGUUCUAGUUACAGAUCCGAGUCCCUGGUACAUUGAUAUCAAGUAAGGGUGCAUGCAGCUCAGAAGGCAGUUUCCAUUACACUGGACAAGAGUGUGGCUGCCUGAGUCCUAGAACUGCAGUGGCUUCUGCUGACAAUGUGAGGAGUAGCUGCCCUGUCCAGAGUGUGGCCCCGCACGCUGCCCCCUCCCCUGGAGGGACUGAAGAGAACAGCUUGGAGCAUGCCCUUCCCUUUCCCUUAUCUCGCCCACUAUGCUAAUGCUGCUCAUCCCUCAAGAUCCGAGUUAUUCCUCCUCAAUUCAAUACACACCAAUCAACUG